UUGUGCUACCUCUAGUCCUCUCAGUCACGGCAGACGUAGAGCUAAUUGAUCACCAAACUCUCCCUGGAGUCUGCAUGGAGAGUCAUUGUCUUUCUCAAUUCAACACAGCAGACAGCCUCUUCCAAUCGAUCCUGACAUUAGGCUACCAGGGAGCUCAUCUACAGCAAGAUAAGUGACCAGCCUGGCAGUUGCGCUUCCUCUGGUCGUACUAUCUGGUGACUGGAUGGCCUGAAGUCAAUGUAUUAUUUUCUGUUUUAAGCAGAAAUAUUCAAUUUUUAGAGCCAUUGCAAGUUUCAAAGUGGCUGAAAAAAGAGAAUCCCUUUCAACUACACUUUCGAAGCAGAGCACAGUAUUAAAUGCAGGCCACCACUCAAUAAUUUGUUAAUAUGCUUUGGUAUGUCUUGCAAACACAGCAGAGAGAUUUCCAGGUAAGCAGAAUUAAAGGUUCUGCCACCUCCAGCAUCUGAAGAAAUGAAAUAAAAUGCACAUUCUUGGAUCUUAAAGGGAAAAAAAUGUAUUUCCAUGUCUUUGAAUCUGCCCUGUGUUAGCCCAUGGCACCUAGGGACAGCCCCAUGCUC